rnacentral:misc_RNA from 1 species
GACAGGAAAUCAAUCUUGAACAAAAAUUAUCGUGACAAAUAGAUUAUCAAUUGUAUUUUUUUACACUCAUAAAGAAGGAAAUAAAUACAAAGAGAGCAAUUAGAGAGACUUUGUCUCCCUUGCUUAUGUUCUCAGUUUUCACACUCUAAUAGAAUGGUGUGGCAAUCAUUGUCAAAUAAUUGAACUGAAAGAAACAAAGAGAUUAAAAAAUGAAAAUAAAUCUUUCUGGUAAAACUAUCUCUGCUACGGUUGCUGUAGCUUUCGAAGAUGCUCCAACAAUGAAGUGGCCUUCCGCUUGGCCCUUUCUGUUCCGCUUUUAGCAAGCUCCAUCAAAGGUAUGAUAGCACCAAGCCUACUUAUACAGGCAAGAUUCUCAGGAUCUCUCUUGCACAAGGAAAGCAAAAUGGCUGCCGCAUUCUCUUUGUUGCGGGGCUGACCUGUUCUCAACAGAUCAAUGAGAACAGGUAUAGUGCUAGCCUUAACUAUAGCAACCUUAGCAUCUUGGUUGCUAGCUAAAACAGAAAGAAUGGUCAGAGCCUCAUCAGCCAUGAAAUUUCUUGAAUCUGUAAGCAUCUUUAAUAAUGCUGGAAUAAUUCCAGCCCUCACGGCCCUGCCCUUGUUCCCUUGAUAAAUGCACAGAUUAAACAAGGCUGUUGCAGCAUCUUUCUUCCCUCUAGGGCUUCCAUUUUCAAGCAAUUCUACCAAAGCAGGGAUAGCCCCUGAUGCACCAAUUAUUAUUUUGUUCUCAUCCCCAAGUGACAAGCUAAAAAUUGUAGCUGCUGCAUUCUCUCUUGCUUCAACACUUCCAGCUCUGAGAAUUUGGACAAUUGAAGGAAUAGCACCAGCAAGCAUUAUUAGUCCCUUGUUAUUUUCAUAUAUGGACAGGUUAAGAAUGGCAGUAACCGCAUUUUCUUGUAUUGACACAUCUUCAGUAGUUAAAAGGUUCACCAGAACAGGAAUAGCUCCAGCUUCUGCUAUUAGUAUCCUGUUAUCUGUGCUUCUUUUGGAUAGUGACCUGAUCUCAGAUACAGCAGCUCUGCGUUCCUCAACAGAUCUGCUUGAGAGUUUGCGAACAAGUGCCUGGAUGGCUGCUAUAUCACCACUUACAUCACGAAAAGAUCCAUCGCUCUUUUUUAUCCUCCCAUUUGCUACCCCUGUUGGCUGCUCAAUGUUGUGCUUUGCACACCACUGAGUUAUUAGACUUCUCAAAACAUAAUUGGGAGUCAGCGUCAAAUGUUCAAGAUUCUGCUGGGUUUUUGGACAUGUUGCAUUCCCAGUGUCAAUCCAUCUUUGAAUAUAAGACCUCUCAUAAGUCUGUCCUGUGGCCACAAUAACAGGAUCCCUCAUUAGUUCCAAGGAUAUAGGGCACAGAAAAUCAUCAGGGAUUGUGGGUGCAUCAGGCUUUUUUAAGUCUUCCAUAUUCUUGAUAGCCAAAUUACUUUUCUUGCUGCCAUCAUCUUCAUUUGAUUCACUCAUGAUGUGAUCUGCAGCAUGGCUUUUUGAUCCACGACUUCCUGAAACAGUGUCCAGCGUUUCUGUAACUACAUGGUUGAUACUAGCACUUUUCUCAUUAACUCCACAUCUGGUUAACCUGUUCCCCUUCUGUACUUGGUCAACUUCUUUGUCCAUUGACUCAGCUAAUGCAAAAGAAAUCAUUCGUGAAUUCAUUGACCCAUAUCUUUCUGUGGCUCUUUGCAACUGUGAUCUCACCAAUGCAACCUGUUCAUAUACUUCCUCUGAGAUGUCAAACUGAUCAAAUGGUAUGUUAGCCAAAGCCUUUUCUAGUUUCCAUGUCACGCAUUGGAAUUGGAAGGCAAUUUUCUUGGUGGCUCCAUCCUUAAAUCAAUAGAUAGCAAAAUUCAGAGAGGUACCUAUACAUUUUUAAGAGAAUGUGCAUAACCACAACAUAAUUUCAGUUAUAGAAUGAAACCUAGACCCAAACAAGAAAACUUUCCUCUCCAAAUGAUCAUCAUCAACAAAUGGAAUAGGAUUUGUUGUCCAAAACGCAGUGAUACCAAUAUAAAUCAGAAGAUCUUAUGACCAAAUAAUGAUAGGUAAUGCUUAAAAAAAAAACCCGAUCCAGUCAUUUGAUUGUAAAAGCAGUUUGAUAUCCCCCUCCCUUCAACAAUUGACAUUUAACAAUAUCAAUUAGUAUUCUUUGAUUCAGUGAGCUAGAUACAAAUAGAUCAAAAGAUUAAAAAAAAAUGAAGGUACAAAUAAUGCUUGCAUAACAGGAUAAUUUUACAAAACAAUAACAAUAAACAGAAAAAUGUGCAUUGAAGCUAUUACCUGAGAGUAAACUGCUGGAAAACCCAAACAAAAGUACAUUUCAAGUUAAGCGACAACUAGAAAUAUUUCAACUAAAGCGACUCCUAAAACACUAAAUUAUAAUUUCAUAAGCAGCUAAAUUUCAAGAACUAAUUUUACUCAAAUUCCACUAUAAAUUUACGCAAAUGCCACAUUCUUUUGCGGUUGCUAAGCUAAACUUACAGAAUUAUUGGUUAGUGAGAAAGCGGAAGCAACCGACAGGAGACGCUUAGCAGCCUGGAGAGCCCCCACUAGAUCGGAGUACCAAUUCCCAGAAGACGAAGAAGAAGAAUUAGAAGCAUCUAAGGGUCCAGAUUCGCCCUUGUAGUCCACAAUCUCCUCGAGGAAGUACUUGAGCAGAGAUAUCCUCCGCAGCAGAUCCGUGCAAUCCUUUCUAAACACCAAAUCACGGUCGUUGGUAGUAGUCCCACAGGCAUUUCCAGGGGACAUUCCGACAAUCUCCCCGACGAGAUUGAGGAGAAAUGCGGCAGGAGCAAGGUGACCUCGACCGGCACGGCCUUCCAUCGGGAUGUGGAGGGCCGGCGAUGACGAUGGUGACGGUGGUUGAUAUGGAGCAAUGUGUGUUCCUCCAGAGCCAGAGCCUGAGAGUCUCCCUCUCUCUCUCUCUCUCCGGUUAGUGUAAUGGUGAUACUUGGGGCGUUUUAACCCUCCUUAGAUGGGUGACAUGUCCGAAGCGAGUAAAUUGGAUUUUGAUAAUUUUAUUUCCCACAGAGAGAGAGAGAGAGA